CGAUAAUUUAAAAUUAAUUUGCUAUUUAUAAAUUUUCAAUCAUCGAAGUAAUUUCUUUGAAUUAUUGUACUACCUGAGAAGUUGAGUUACGCUUAAGAUUAAUUUUAUACUAGUCCAUGGGCUCCCUCAUUUGAACUUUAUUAGACAUGGUUUACAGUAUGAAUUUUCAAUCACAUGCUCUUAAAUUACCCGAGGUUGGUGAGAUACGUCCUCCUGCAGGGCAGUUUGGAAGAAGAUUUUUUUUGGCAGAUAGAGGGGUGACAUAUUUGGAAGAAUAGAUAAGUACCCUUCUUGGGCAAUGGUGUCAUAUGUCCCUCUUCUAGGCUUUGGGGUUGAUCAUUUGAAUCUCUUUCUUUUGGUCCUUAAAAAAUUUCUUGUUAAAAUUAAAUUGCAAUCUUGAGUAGCAUGUGAAUUUGCAGAGAUUAAUUCAGUAUCCUUAGGUUUCUGGCCUUAAACCUGAUAUGCAUUUUCCCCCAUCUUUUAGUGGAAAAGAGAGCAUCACUGUAUAGUCAUGCGAUUGUAGCAGUGAUAGAUGCAGCUGAUUUAGUCUCGGAAAAGCAGAGUUUUCAUCCAUUCCCUUGUGAUUUUUCUAUUAGUGGAUUUCUCAAGUGGUUGUCCUAUGAUUCUUGCAGGGAAGUUAUUCUGCAAAAGCAGGACAUUUGUCUUUCAGAUGUUGAAGACAAGAGAGUGGCAGGGUUAAAUGAUUUUUCUUCUUUGAAGGAAUGUAAAUGCUGCCUUGGUGGGGGUGGAUUUUGUGACCUUUGGUAUGUUGCUAGUUUUCCAAAAAUGGGUCUUGAUGCAUUGUUGGGCAUUUGAAGUUGGAAAUUGAGUUAUCCAUGCUGUCGGCAUUACCACUUCACAGGAUGCCAACAUCAAUUGCAGCAUGUUUCACUGUAUUGAAACCUGGUGGCCUACUUCUAUUCAGAGAUUAUGUGUGAUGAAAACUCAGGCCUUUACGACAUGACGAUGCUUCAAUUUGAGCCAGACAAAACGAUCUAAUGGAACUCGUUCCUACUUUUUUUGUUUGCAUAAUGUGAGGGAUCUCUUCGUGGGUGCGGGCUUCACUGAGGUACUAAUCUUGUUUCUAUCAGUUUGAU